GAUGCCAUUUGAAAAUAUAGGCAGUGUAAGCACUGUAGAAUCUAAUUAUUUCUUUGCAAAACCUAAUUAGGCAUUAAAAAAGGUUAACGCCAGCGCCUGAAACGUUUUUGUUUAAUAAUCCCAUUACUGACGGCUCAUCAUGUAUAAAAUGGUGCAGGAGGACACUAAGUUUCCACUUGUUAAAGGGAAUCUCUGAGAAAUAGUCGCAGAUCUUUUGACACUAUCUGCGAUUGGAAAUUAGGGCUUGUAAUUAAACUGCGGAGACUCAGCACAGCACACAGAAGCUUCCUGGAAGGCUGUGAUUGGCCGCCUGUCUGGGCAGUGAUAGCAGCCCUGGAGCCGAGGAUGAUUGAUGAUGGCGAGGGCAAGGCCGAGCGCUGGCAGCAUAAAGCCCCAUAGACGCCUCAAUAAAGAGCCUGGCUAGUGGAGAGCCCGGGCCCCGCUCAAUAGGGCCCCCUCCGCCUCCGAGGACCCACGGCUAGAGGAGUGCAUGGAGAGAGAGGGAGAGAGGGAGAGGAAGAGAGGGAGAAGGAGAGGUGCUCUGUUGUUGGAUAAUCCAUUUAGCUAUUGAGCCAGCAGCCGUCUGAGACUGGAUAAGUGCAGCGACGGAUGUGUGUGGGGUGAAAAUAGCAGGGGUUGGCUGGUGGAGUGCUGGAGGGGGGGAUGCAGGGAUGAAGGAUAUGGAGGGAGAGAGAGAGAGAGAGAGAGAGAGAGAGGGAGAGAGAUGGAUCAUCCAGUCUCAGGAUGCAUAAUGGGAAAAAAGGGAAGCAGAUAAACAAACUGCAGAUGUGAUCUGCAGGCUGCUUUUCACACAUGCUAGAAAUGAUCACAAGCCAAAAAAGUUGACCACAAGAAACUGAAUGAUAUAGCUGAGGCCUCUGCUACUACUCUGGUGGCCAUCAUUCAGCCUACGGAUGCAUAACUGCGGUGACCUUUGCUUCUGCAGAUCAAUGAGACCCUGCUAGGUUGGAUUCCAUCGGUGGAAGCAUCCACUGCUGUGGCCCCAGACCUCAUGCAGCCCUGUUGUAACCCCCAGCGCACAGCAGCUCUGAAAAGCACAAUUAGGCAUCAAUCUGCCCCUACCAAGCCAGCUUUCAGUGACUCCAGCAUGGCUACAUGAUAUCCUGCAGACCCUCCUGGCUGGAGUUGGCAGGAUGAAGGUCUGAUAGAGCGGAGGGGCCGGAGACUGAUGUUCUGAUCAUCUUUUAUUUUGCUCUGCAGGUUUCACAGAGAUCAAGGAUGAGAAAUCAGUAAGCCUUAAGAACAGUUUAAGACCCUGCAUAUGUUGCACUAACAUUUGAUUUUCAAAGUAUUAAAACAUACUUUAUAGGAUGAUAUUAAAACAAGUUGAAACAAGGUUCCUAAAUGCACUAAAAGUUAACUAAAUUGAGCCUUUAACAUUUUAUAAUGUUGUAUAUCUCAAAAUUACUUUGCACAUGUUCUUUCUUUUCAAUGCCUUGUAUGAUUCAGUCAUAUUCAUCUGCAUUUUAAUGUACUAUAUAAAAAUAAACCUACCAAAUUCCUCAAAACUAA